rnacentral:rRNA from 1 species
AAGUCUGACGGAGCAACGCCGCGUGAGCGAUGAAGGCCUUCGGGUCGUAAAGCUCUGUUGUUAGGGAAGAACAAGUAUCGGAGUAACUGCCGGUACCUUGACGGUACCUAACCAGAAAGCCACGGCUAACUACGUGCCAGCAGCCGCGGUAAUACGUAGGUGGCAAGCGUUGUCCGGAAUUAUUGGGCGUAAAGCGCGCGCAGGUGGUUCCUUAAGUCUGAUGUGAAAGCCCACGGCUCAACCGUGGAGGGUCAUUGGAAACUGGGGAACUUGAGUGCAGAAGAGGAAAGUGGAAUUCCACGUGUAGCGGUGAAAUGCGUAGAGAUGUGGAGGAACACCAGUGGCGAAGGCGACUUUCUGGUCUGUAACUGACACUGAGGCGCGAAAGCGUGGGGAGCGAACAGGAUUAGAUACCCUGGUAGUCCACGCCGUAAACGAUGAGUGCUAAGUGUUAGAGGGUUUCCGCCCUUUAGUGCUGCAGCAAACGCAUUAAGCACUCCGCCUGGGGAGUACGGCCGCAAGGCUGAAACUCAA